rnacentral:rRNA from 1 species
UUGAAGUCUUCGGAUGGAUAGAAGAACCCCUGAUGCCGUCGAGCCAAGAAAAGUUUCUAAGUUUAGCUAAUGUUGCCCGUACCGUAAACCGACACAGGUGGGUGGGAUGAGUAUUCUAAGGCGCGUGGAAGAACUCUCUUUAAGGAACUCUGCAAAAUAGCACCGUAUCUUCGGUAUAAGGUGUGGUUAGCUUUGUAUUAGGAUUUACUCCGAAAGCAAGGAAACUUACAACAAAGAGUCCCUCCCGACUGUUUACCAAAAACACAGCACUCUGCUAACUCGUAAGAGGAUGUAUAGGGUGUGACGCCUGCCCGGUGCUCGAAGGUUAAUUGAUGGGGUUAGCAUUAGCGAAGCUCUUGAUCGAAGCCCGAGUAAACGGCGGCCGUAACUAUAACGGUCCUAAGGUAGCGAAAUUCCUUGUCGGUUAAAUACCGACCUGCAUGAAUGGCGUAACGAGAUGGGAGCUGUCUCAAAGAGGGAUCCAGUGAAAUUGUAGUGGAGGUGAAAAUUCCUCCUACCCGCGGCAAGACGGAAAGACCCCGUGGACCUUUACUACAGCUUGACACUGCUACUUGGAUAAGAAUGUGCAGGAUAGGUGGGAGGCUUUGAGUAUAUGACGCCAGUUGUAUAUGAGCCAUUGUUGAGAUACCACUCUUUCUUAUUUGGGUAGCUAACCAGCUUGAGUUAUCCUCAAGUGGGACAAUGUCUGGUGGGUAGUUUGACUGGGGCGGUCGCCUCCCAAAUAAUAACGGAGGCUUACAAAGGUUGGCUCAGAACGGUUGGAAAUCGUUCGUAGAGUAUAAAGGUAUAAGCCAGCUUAACUGCAAGACAUACAAGUCAAGCAGAGACGAAAGUCGGUCUUAGUGAUCCGGUGGUUCUGUGUGGAAGGGCCAUCGCUCAAAGGAUAAAAGGUACCCCGGGGAUAACAGGCUGAUCUCCCCCAAGAGCUCACAUCGACGGGGAGGUUUGGCACCUCGAUGUCGGCUCAUCGCAUCCUGGGGCUGGAGCAGGUCCCAAGGGUAUGGCUGUUCGCCAUUUAAAGCGGUACGCGAGCUGGGUUCAGAACGUCGUGAGACAGUUCGGUCCCUAUCUGCCGUGGGCGUAAGAAGAUUGAAGAGAUUUGACCCUAGUACGAGAGGACCGGGUUGAACAAACCACUGGUGUAGCUGUUGUUCUGCCAAGAGCAUCGCAGCGUAGCUAAGUUUGGAAAGGAUAAACGCUGAAAGCAUCUAAGCGUGAAGCCAACUCUAAGAUGAAUCUUCUCUAAGCUCUCUAGAAGACUACUAGUUUGAUAGGCUGGGUGUGUAAUGGAUGAAAGUCCUUUAGCUGACCAGUACUAAUAGAGCGUUUGGCUUAUCUUUAAUAAAGCAU